CAUCUACUGCCUUAUAAGUAUUAAACCACUCCAUGUUGGGUGUCAUAUGGAAAGAGCAACCUAAAUCGAACAUCCAAUCACGAUCUUUCGCUGGAUUCUCAAGGACAACAACUUUGAUGGAGGUUGAAAGAGCAUCAAAGUAAAACAGCUCUGAUACCAAUCUGUUGGGUUUGAAGGGCCCAAACUAGGCCCAUGAUUGUGAUUAAUGCAAGGGAAUGAGGUAUGACUUGGAAGAAGUGGUUGUAAAGAAGCCACUAGCUGAUGACAAGACAGAGGAAGCUUCGUCCUUCUUUUCAUCUUUUAUCUUUGUAAGUUGAAUUGUAUUCUGAUUAGAAAGAUAAAGUGGAAAAACUUCUCAAACUCUCUCUCGAUUACUUCCUAAAACUUCUCUAACUUGUAAUUCAUAUGACUGUGCAAAUUGAUUGAGAGAAUUGUGCAUGGAUGAACGAAGAAGUAGAAGAGGAUGGAGAUAAGAGAAUAUUGCAAGCAGAUGUACAUGGUUCGACAAGAUGCCUACAUCCAAGGGAGAAGAAGAAUUUUUUGAUUCUUGGAGGAAUUUUACAAAGAUAAGUCUCUAACUCUCACACUCUAAUUUUCUUACUGACAAGCAUCCUUUAUAAAGAGAAAGAUGGUACAUGAUUAGUGAGUCUAGAAGGGUAUGUAAAUAUUGUUUUCACUCUAGAUGUUACAGAUUUUACAAUCUUAAAUUCCCCUGGUGUUUGCCUCAGUUGUCUAACUCUUUUAUUUAUUCAUAUUUUCUUGAUGGUCAUGUAUCAUGGGAAAUUAUUGUUCACAAAACACAGUUGUACAAAAUGUAAGAAUCUAAUAUCGGAUGGGCCAAAUAUUAGGCCCAAGAUUGUGAUUUAGUAGGGAAAUGGAGGCUGGCUUGAGGAAGUGGCUGUGAAGACGCCACGUUGCUGCAGGGAUGAUCAGAGGAAGCUUCCUCCCCUUUCUUUCUGGUUAGUGGAGGCAUGCAUGAGUAGAGGAGAGCUUCAGACCUUUCUCUUCCUCUCAGUUUCUUCACGAUUUUCCCAAAAGCUCGCUCUCACUGUUAUUCGAAUGGCUAUGGAUUUUGAUUGAGAUAAUGAAGCACCGAAGAACAUGAAGUAGAAAAAGAUAGAAGCAAAAGAGAAAUGCAAAAUAGUGAGUUGAUCGACAUCGACAAUGAAUCACCACCUAUAAAUAUUUUCGUCCCCGAUGCAUGUUCUAAACCAUCGGAAGUCAUUGGCAAGAGAAAACCAACUAGGCCAUCAUCUUCAAUGUGGGAUCACUUUACAAAGAUGGAAAGAUUUAACACUGAAGGUAUAAGAUGCAAAUAUAAUUAUUGUGAUAAAGAUUACGCUUAUGACACUUCAUGUGGAACUAGUACCUUAUGGAAGCAUUUACGAAAAUAAUGCAAAAAUUAUCCAUUUAAAGAGCAACCUAAAGGACAAACCAUACUAAAAUUUCAACCGAAUGAAAUUGAUGCAAAAGGUGCUAUCAAUAUGAAGUUUUUGUCUACUGCCUUUAGUCAACAAAGAGUUAGAAAUGCAUGUGCUAAGAUGCUAGUAUUGUCUGAGGUACCAUUUAGAUUUGUAGAGACAGAGGGGUUUAAAGAAUUUUGUAAUAUUGCAUGUCUUAAGUUUGACAUUCCUUCCAGAAUCACAAUUGCUAUGGAUAUUUAUCAGUUGUAUGUGGAUGAAAAAAAAUUGUUGAAAUCAACUUCAAUCAAAAGUAGUCAAAGAGUGAGCCUAACAACA